GACGAACGCUGGCGGCGUGCCUAAUACAUGCAAGUCGAACGCAGUGGGGACGGGUGAGUAACACGUCGCUAACCUCCCAUCAGAGGGGAUAACACUUGGAAACAGGUGCUAAACCGAUACUGAUGGACGGACCCGCGGUGCAUUAGCUAGUUGGUGCGGUAACGGCUCACCAAGGCCACGAUGCAUAGCGUGCCGUGGAGCGGAUGCGGACACACGGGGACUGGGACGCGGCCGAGACGCCUAAGUGAGGCAGCACUAGGAAAUAUUCGGCAAUGGGCGAAAGUCAGACGGGGCAACGCCGCUUGAGUGAAGAAGGUAUUCUGAUCGUAAAACUCUGUAAUUAGAGAAGCGGUAUCGAACCAGAUGGCCACGGCUAACUACGUGCCAGCAGCCGCGGUAAUAC
rnacentral:rRNA from 1 species